ensembl:snRNA U6 U6 spliceosomal RNA
GCUCUUUUUGGGAGCACAUAUACUAAAACUGGAAAGAUACAGAGAAGUAUGACCCCCACACAAGGAUGACAUGAAAAUUCAUCAAGUGUUAUUCUUCGAA